rnacentral:lncRNA from 1 species
GGUCUAAAAUCAAUGCAGUUUGGUUCACUGCUAGUGAAUCCUGGGAGUUAUAGUUUCCCAAGGUCUGCCCAGUGUGAUUUGACAGCAUCCGGAAGAUUUUGAACCGACCUCCGAUCCAUCUCCUGGUGAGGGUGAAACUAGAAACCAAGCCGAAGAAAAAUGAAGACAGGGUGCUGGUAAGGAGAUUCCUGGGAAUUGCUAAUAUUAUUAUUAUUAUCAUCAUCAUUGGUGCUGGUAAGGAGAUUCCUGGGAAUUAUUAUUAACAUUGGGUUGCUAUGAGUUUUCCGGGCUGUCUGGCCAUGUUCCAGAAGCAUGCUCUC